rnacentral:lncRNA from 1 species
UGCCACCGAGCCGAGGGGCGCCAGCAAGGCAUCCCCUGGGUCAAGGGGCCUCCCGUGGGCUUUCCAAACAGCCUGUGCUCAUUUCCGCGGGAGCCCUCGGGGCGCUGUGCUGUGGCUGCAUUGUCACUGUUUGUUUAUUUCUACAUCUGCUCUGUUAGAAGAUAGGCUCGCUUAGGACAGAGCCUUCUAAUCCACCCCCUGAUGAAUUCGGGCCCUCGCCUUUGGCACAAUGCCUGGCGUCAUCACAACGCGGGUGAUCAGUAAACGGCAGCGAAGGAAGCGGGGUCAGGACUGGAGAGGAGAGGGGGAGGAAGACAGACGACCGGAGAGGAACAAAAAUGGAAGGUAACUUGAGCUUUCAUAACUGCAGAAGUGCAAAACAGCUCCCUGUGUGAUAUAGGAAGUAAAACCGUAGAGAUGGGACUUGGCUGGCCUGCCCUUCACACACUUUAGACAUUAACCCAAAGUUCAUGCUCCUGCCAUGACAGUGAUGGUGGACAGGAGGGAAGAAAAUGACAAGGAGGAAAGGAGGUGUCUUUUGCUCUUAAAAAUGAGAAGGGUCAUAAACAAUCCAUCGGCUGCAAACCACGAGUUGCCCCCAAAGCAAAGCAGGUUAGUGGCUGCUGCCGCCUCAUCAUAGCUUCAGAACCCACAGAGCCUGGAGGACUGUCAAACAUUAUCUAAUAUCCCAUUCUACAGAAGAGAAAACUGAGGUUGAGGCAGGAACGCAGACAGGAAUCAAGGUUUUGGGGUUGGGAUUUGCAAUCCAUUACUUUGCCUCCUGCAUCCACUGCUUUUCCCUGGGCAUUCUCUUCUUCCGGUUUCUUGGAAGUUAAAAUUGCGAGAGAAGCAACACAGAGUGGUUUUCCCAGGGCCUCGACCUCGGUAAGGGAAGACGUGGAAUUCCGAGUGUGGAGACCCAGACAGCCUCCGAAACCCCCACGCAACCCUGGGCGUUCAGCAGCUGCCAAUGCCCGCCUGACAAGUUUCUGGGGCAUCUCUGCACACGGAGAGGUGUGUCUCCUGCAGCUCCAAAAACAGAUUUUGCCAUCUCAUCCCCAUAUUUGCAGUCUCCAGUUGGCUUCUUGUGAUUGGCCAGAACUUUUCCUCACUGGAGAGAUGAGGAGAAUCCAGUCCUCCAACCAGCUGAGAGAAAACACUGCAGUAGCAGAGAUAGCAAUGGCUGUUCCACCCCACACUGAUACGAUGUCAGGGAGCCAGGGGUGGGCUCAACAGGCUGAAUGAUGCCAGGGACUCCCAAGGGUCUAUACAUUUAACCCUGGAGGAAGUGGCCUCUGACCAGAACAAGUAAGAAUGGACAGAGGAAUACCAUGUGCUGACUGACGAACGCCUGGGUUUCUGAACCAAUUGCCAUCAAGGGGAUUGGGAUUACCAUAAUUUUUGCUGAGACUAAGCCCCACCCCAGUAACCAAAGGUGAGUUCAGUUUCUCUGGUCACUAUGGACUGUGUGAGGUAAGAUGGGCAGCUAUCAAAAUAGUCAGUCUAUCAAUAAAGAGCAGGCAAAUACGAAGCUAAUUGCUCAAAAAUAAUCAUCUUAAGUGAUCAUCUAAAACUAUCUUUCUAAAGGUUUUGUCUAUCUGCUAGAAGGAACCAGUUCACUCAUAUCUGACCUCCUGCCCCUCAGUUUCUCUUUCUCCCUCUCUCUUUCAGUGGUGGGAAACUUUCUACUCCUUUCUGUCUCAUUGAAACUUUCCUUUUAAUGUAAGCUAAGUUUUUCUACUCUGCUUUACAGCGAAACUCUGUGUUCAGUCUCCACACAUUGCUCUUAAUAUGUAAAGAAAGGCUUAACUAUUUUUAAUUUUUUCUUUGCUGACAAAAGUUAGCUUUCUAAACUUUUGUUUCAUUCAACUUUUAAGUUGUGAUUCAGUGACACCUCUUAUUGUCUAGGGGCCCCUGCCAUCCCAUGAAAAUACAUAUGCCAGUGACUUAAUAAGUAGAGAAUGGCAAGGCAGUAAGAAAAACAGGUCAACAGGAAAUUCAGAAUACAUGAAAAAAAAAUGGGCUGGGCUAGAUGGCUCAUGUCUGUAAUCCCAGCACUUUUGGAGUCUGAGGUGGGAGGAUCACUUGAG